UACGUAGGGUGCAAGCGUUAAUCGGAAUUACUGGGCGUAAAGCGUGCGCAGGCGGUUUUGCAAGACCGAUGUGAAAUCCCCGGGCUUAACCUGGGAACUGCAUUGGUGACUGCAAGGCUUGAGUGUGUCAGAGGGAGGUGGAAUUCCGCGUGUAGCAGUGAAAUGCGUAGAUAUGCGGAGGAACACCGAUGGCGAAGGCAGCCUCCUGGGAUAACACUGACGCUCAUGCACGAAAGCGUGGGGAGCAAACAGG
rnacentral:rRNA from 1 species